rnacentral:RNase_P_RNA from 1 species
GAAGCAGGCCAGACCGCCGCUGGUGCGAGCGUGGAAACACGGCACUGGAGGAAGGUCCGGACUGCACAGGGCAGCGUAGCAGCUAACGGCUGUCCACCGCGAGGUGCGGAUCAGAGCAACAGAGACGAGUCUUUGCGGGGUCCUGCAAUGGAGUGUUCUGGGAGGCGCCGGCGCAAGCCGGCGUUCGGUGCGGCUUGCCGUGCCGAACCGGGCGCAAGCCCGGACCGAACAGCCACCCUUUGCGGGGCCUAGCCCCGCAAAGGGUGAAACGGGCAAUCUCUACGCGCAGCAACACCAAAUAGGCACACGGCGACCCGGCCCGGCGAGUGUGCGGGUAGGUGGCAUCGAGCCUGGGGGGCGACUCCCGGCCCAGAGGAAUGGCGGUCACGGCAGGCUUCGCAAGAAGCCGGCCGCACAGAAUCCGGCCUAUCGGUCUGCUUCACAC